UAUCCCUGGCAACGGGCAAAGAGGCACUUUGUUGGUGGUGGUGCUCUUGUAUCAGUCAGGGGCAGAGCAGUGGCAGGCCUUUGUUUAUUGUAGCUUGACACCGGCUUGGUGGCCAAAGCUGUCUUAUGCCUAGGACUCAUGA